UACGAAGGGGGCUAGCGUUGCUCGGAAUUACUGGGCGUAAAGGGAGCGUAGGCGGAUAUUUAAGUCGGGGGUGAAAGCCCAGGGCUCAACCCUGGAAUUGCCUUCGAUACUGGAUAUCUAGAGUAUGGGAGAGGUGUGUGGAACUCCGAGUGUAAGAGGUGAAUUCGUAGAAUAUUCGGAAGAACACCAGUGGCGAAGGCGACUCACUGGA
rnacentral:rRNA from 1 species